UACGGAGGGGGCUAGCGUUGUUCGGAAUUACUGGGCGUAAAGCGCACGUAGGCGGCUUGUCGCGUUGUUCGUGAAAAUUUACCGCUCAACGGUGAACUUGCGGGCGAUACGGGCAGGCUAGAGUACUGCAGGGGAGACUGGAAUUCCUGGUGUAGCGGUGAAAUGCGCAGAUAUCAGGAGGAACACCGGUGGCGAAGGCGGGUCUCUGGGCAGUAACUGACGCUGAGGAGCGAAAGCGUGGGGAGCGAACAGG
rnacentral:rRNA from 1 species